rnacentral:rRNA from 1 species
UACAGAGGGGGCAAGCGUUAUUCGGAAUUAUUGGGCGUAAAGGGCGCGUAGGCGGUUUUUUAAGUCGGAUGUGCAAUCCCCAGGCUCAACCUGGGAACUGCAUCCGAGACUGGAAGGCUAGAGUACUGGAGAGGGUGGUGGAAUUCCUCGUGUAGCGGUGAAAUGCGUAGAGAUGAGGAGGAACACCAGUGGCGAAGGCGACUACCUGGCCUGUUCUUGACGCUGAGGCGCGAAAGCUAGGGGAGCAAACGGG